GACGAACGCUGGCGGCGUGCCUAAUACAUGCAAGUAGAACGCUGAAGAGAGGAGCUUGCUCUUCUUGGAAGAGUUGCGAACGGGUGAGUAACGCGUAGGUAACCUGCCUUGUAGCGGGGGAUAACUAUUGGAAACGAUAGCUAAUACCGCAUAACAAUGGGUGACCCAUGUCAUUCAUUUGAAAGGGGCAACUGCUCCACUACAAGAUGGACCUGCGUUGUAUUAGCUAGUAGGUGAGGUAACGGCUCACCUAGGCGACGAUACAUAGCCGACCUGAGAGGGUGAUCGGCCACACUGGGGCUGAGACACGGCCCAGACUCCUACGGGAGGCAGCAGUAGGGAAUCUUCGGCAAUGGGGGCAACCCUGACCGAGCAACGCCGCGUGAGUGAAGAAGGUUUUCGGAUCGUAAAGCUCUGUUGUAAGUCAAGAACGAGUGUGAGAGUGGAAAGUUCACACUGUGACGGUAGCUUACCAGAAAGGGACGGCUAACUACGUGCCAGCAGCCGCGGUAAUACGUAGGUCCCGAGCGUUGUCCGGAUUUAUUGGGCGUAAAGCGAGCGCAGGCGGUUUGAUAAGUCUGAAGUUAAAGGCUGUGGCUCAACCAUAGUUCGCUUUGGAAACUGUCAAACUUGAGUGCAGAAGGGGAGAGUGGAAUUCCAUGUGUAGCGGUGAAAUGCGUAGAUAUAUGGAGGAACACCGGUGGCGAAAGCGGCUCUCUGGUCUGUAACUGACGCUGAGGCUCGAAAGCGUGGGGAGCGAACAGG
rnacentral:rRNA from 1 species